GGUUGGAUCAUUAAAAAAAACCACAAAGGUGUGUACCCCUUGACUGGGGUGCCCUACCUUGACACGAGGAUGUGUGCUUGGCAGGAGUACUGGCGCUAGGCAUGUUGUGCUACUUUGCAUGACUAACUGCUUACAUGCCUGUUUCCUGUUCUCUUCUGGGAGCUGUUGUUAGGCUGCUCUUCGGACACGCCAUCCUGCACUUGACACCAAAGUGACACAUCCUCCACUGUUACAAAACCUCUUGUGAACCGACUCGUCUCUGGCGUGGAGGGCAGUUGAAAAACUGCUUGUCAGCAUCCAAAUUCAAAUUUGCAGGUGCCGUGGACAACCCGCCAACCCUUUACAACUUGUACAUUUUAAAUUUCUGUCUAACAUUAUUUGUAUCAAUUAAUACAAAACAACUUUUGGCAACGGAUCUCUUGGCUCUCGCAACGAUGAAGAACGCAGCGAAAUGCGAUAAGUAGUGUGAAUUGCAGAAUUCAGUGAAUCAUCGAAUCUUUGAACGCACAUUGCGCUUCCUGGUAUUCCGGGGAGCAUGCUCGUUUCAGAAUCAUUUAAAACUCACAAGCCUUUGCGGCGUCUGUCGCAUUUGGUGCGUGGAUAUGAGCGUAUUGACUGGCCUGGGAUUGACCGAUUUCCUGCCACAAAACCCAAUCGCUUUAAAAUGAUUUUGUACGCAACCCGUCACAAGUACUUGGGCUGCCAACAAUGCGACAGUUUUUAACAGUUCAUUUUUGGAAUAAGCUUAAAGAAAUGACCGUGGACCGUAUUUCUAGCUCCAACACAAUUCACUGUGGGCGUAACCCCUGUGCUUUGAAACUUGGUCUGAAAUCGAGCAAGAAAACCCGCUGAACUUAAGCAUAUCAAUAAGCGGAGGAAAAGAAACUAACAAGGAUUCCCCUAGUAACGGCGAGUGAAGCGGGAAAAGCUCAAAUUUGAAAUCACAUAGGUUUUACCUGUGCGAAUUGUAGUUUAUAGAAACGUUUUCGGGGGCGGCUUGGAUAUAAGUCCUUUGGAAAGAGGCAUCAUAGAGGGUGAUAAUCCCGUAAAUGGUCCAAUGUCCGCUCCUAUGUGAUGCGUUCUCAAAGAGUCAGGUAGUUUGGGAUUGCUGCCUAAAAUGGGUGGUAAAUACCAUCUAAAGCUAAAUAUUGGCGAGAGACCGAUAGCGAACAAGUACCGUGAGGGAAAGAUGAAAAGAACUUUGAAAAGAGAGUUAAACAGUACGUGAAAUUGCCAAAAGGGAAACGCUUGGAACCAGUAUUGUUUGCAAGUAAUCAAGUACACGUUCCGAGAGGGCCCCGUGUGGUGCACUUGCUUGCGGACAGGCCAACAUCAGUUUGAUUUGGGGUAAAAAGCCUGAGAAAGGUAGCUUGGCUUCGGCUGAGUGUUAUAGUCUCUGGUCAUGCCUUGGAUUGGACUGAGGACUGCAGCGUUUUUUGGGUACCCGAUUGCCUCCUUUCUUCAUCUUUCUUUAGACAGCAUGCUGACUCUAGAAGUGAAGGGGGAGCCCGGUCGGUUUGCUACACCAGCGCUUAGGAUGUUGGCGAAAUGGUUCCAAACGACCCGUCUUGAAACACGGACCAAGGAGUCUAACAUAUAUGCGAGUAUUUGGGUGGCAAACCCUUAUGCAAAAUGAAAGUGAGUUAUGGGACCUUCGGCGCACCAUACAUCGGUCUUCAUUUUUUGAUGGAACUGAGUUUGAGCAUACAUGUUGGGACCCGAAAGAUGGUGAACUAUGCCUGAAUAGGGUGAAGCCAGGGGAAACCCUGGUGGAGGCUCGUAGCGAUUCUGACGUGCAAAUCGAUCGUCAAAUUUGGGUAUAGGGGCGAAAGACUAAUCGAACCAUCUAGUAGCUGGUUCCCUC
rnacentral:misc_RNA from 1 species